GCUCCAGCGAUGUGAGGCGCCCGCCAGAGGUCUCCCCUUACGGGAGCUACCCGGCGGCGUGGACCACUGUUUGGGGUGCAUUCAAUCGACAAGGGGGCGGGGUGGCCUUCGCGAUCCGGUGCCGGUCGCCGCCCUCGCCCGCCGGUGCCGGUCACAUGUGACACGGGCCGGUAGGUGGGAGUUGGUGGCCGGGGGAUCCCGCCCCGCUCGCCACAAUCUCGGCGUAAGAGUUGGUCAUCUCUCCGACCCGUCUUGAAACACGGACCAAGGAGUUUAGCCUAUGCGCGAGUCACUGGGUGGAAAACCCACGGGCGCAAUGAAAGUGAGAGGCCUCCUCGCGGGGCUGAUAUGCGAGCUGGUGGCCCGAUCGCGGGUGGCCGGCGCAGCAUAGCCCCGUCCCGAUCGCUUGCGAUGGGGCGGCGGAAGAGCGCAUGGGCUGAGACCCGAAAGAUGGUGAACUAUGCCUGAGCAGGACGAAGCCAGAGGAAACUCUGGUGGAAGUCCGAAGCGGUUCUGACGUGCAAAUCGAUCGUCUGACUUGGGUAUAGGGGCGAAAGACUAAUCGAACCAUCUAGUAGCUGGUUCCUUCCGA
rnacentral:rRNA from 1 species